rnacentral:rRNA from 1 species
CCUACGGGAGGCAGCAGUGAGGAAUAUUGGUCAAUGGGCGCGAGCCUGAACCAGCCAAGUAGCGUGAAGGAUGACUGCCCUACGGGUUGGAAAAUACGUUUAUAAAGGAAUAAAGUGAGGCACGUGUGCCUUUUUGUAUGUACCUUAUGAAUAAGGAUCGGCUAACUCCGUGUCAGCAGCCGCGGUAAUACGGAGGAUCCGAGCGUUAUCCGGUUUUAUUGGGUUUAAAGGGAGCGUAGAUGGGUUGUUAAGUCAGUUGUGAAAGUUUGCGGCUCAACCGUAAAAUUUCACUUGAUCCUGGCAGCCUUGAGUACAGUUGAGGUAGGCGGAAUUCGUGGUGUAGCGGU